GGUAGAGAAUACCAAGGCGCUUGAGAGAACUCGGGUGAAGGAACUAGGCAAAAUGGUGCCGUAACUUCGGGAGAAGGCACGCUGAUAUGUAGGUGAAGUCCCUCGCGGAUGGAGCUGAAAUCAGUCGAAGAUACCAGCUGGCUGCAACUGUUUAUUAAAAACACAGCACUGUGCAAACACGAAAGUGGACGUAUACGGUGUGACGCCUGCCCGGUGCCGGAAGGUUAAUUGAUGGGGUCAGCGCAAGCGAAGCUCUUGAUCGAAGCCCCGGUAAACGGCGGCCGUAACUAUAACGGUCCUAAGGUAGCGAAAUUCCUUGUCGGGUAAGUUCCGACCUGCACGAAUGGCGUAAUGAUGGCCAGGCUGUCUCCACCCGAGACUCAGUGAAAUUGAACUCGCUGUGAAGAUGCAGUGUACCCGCGGCAAGACGGAAAGACCCCGUGAACCUUUACUAUAGCUUGACACUGAACAUUGAGCCUUGAUGUGUAGGAUAGGUGGGAGGCUUUGAAGUGUGGACGCCAGUCUGCAUGGAGCCGACCUUGAAAUACCACCCUUUAAUGUUUGAUGUUCUAACGUGGACCCGUGAUCCGGGUUGCGGACAGUGUCUGGUGGGUAGUUUGACUGGGGCGGUCUCCUCCUAAAGAGUAACGGAGGAGCACGAAGGUUGGCUAAUCCUGGUCGGACAUCAGGAGGUUAGUGCAAUGGCAUAAGCCAGCUUGACUGCGAGCGUGACGGCGCGAGCAGGUGCGAAAGCAGGUCAUAGUGAUCCGGUGGUUCUGAAUGGAAGGGCCAUCGCUCAACGGAUAAAAGGUACUCCGGGGAUAACAGGCUGAUACCGCCCAAGAGUUCAUAUCGACGGCGGUGUUUGGCACCUCGAUGUCGGCUCAUCACAUCCUGGGGCUGAAGUAGGUCCCAAGGGUAUGGCUGUUCGCCAUUUAAAGUGGUACGCGAGCUGGGUUUAGAACGUCGUGAGACAGUUCGGUCCCUAUCUGCCGUGGGCGCUGGAGAACUGAGGGGGGCUGCUCCUAGUACGAGAGGACCGGAGUGGACGCAUCACUGGUGUUCGGGUUGUCAUGCCAAUGGCACUGCCCGGUAGCUAAAUGCGGAAGAGAUAAGUGCUGAAAGCAUCUAAGCACGAAACUUGCCCCGAGAUGAGUUCUCCCUGACCCUUUAAGGGUCCUGAAGGAACGUUGAAGACGACGACGUUGAUAGGCCGGGUGUGUAAGCGCAGCGAUGCGUUGAGCUAACCGGUACUAAUGAACCGUGAGGCUUAACCUUACAACGCCGAAGGUGUUU
rnacentral:rRNA from 1 species